CCCGCCACUGUGCCAGUCUGAUUCCCGUGACUUGGCUUAGUCCAGUGGUGUGCUUAUAACAAACCUCUUCUUAGGAAACAGAGCUUUUUCUUUAUGGUAAAAAGUCCUGUGCCGAAAGAUUGAGAACAGUU